rnacentral:rRNA from 1 species
AUGUUCCAAAUGUUGCAAUUCAGCAAGAUAAUACACCGUACUCCAUUUCUACAAGUAAGAUCAUGUUUGGUUUGUUUUCAAUAUGCUAUGAAUUUCCCUUUUGUACGUCAAAAAAUUUAUUUUACCGGAAACAUGAUAAAGCACACUAAGAUAGUAUUUUGUUUUGUUAUGACCAUUCAGAAUAUUGAAGCUUCCAAGCGGGUGGAGAAUGAUACAUCUACAGGAAGCCCAUCUGUAGAAAGCAACAUCAUUAUCUUUAACCAGCAAGUUCAAAAACAAAAAUUAAGGACAGCAGCAGCAGCUAAACUCUCAAAGAAAUCUCUCUCCCACUCUAGUUGA